UUUUUUUUUUUUUGGUUGGAGUAGUUAGUCAUUAGUACAGAAGUGUUUGGUCACGAGCAGGAAAGAAUGAAAAUGUAAAAUUCAGUGGGCUUCAUUUCCAUGGUUGUGGUGUGAAAUUUGUGGGGGAGAUUCCGGAGUGAGGUAUGCCCCAGGUACUCACCUGAAAAAGGGUUCCAGGUACAUGGUGUGUCCGCAGCAUCCCUGGCCCCAUCCUUUCUGUCCUGGAAUUCUGUGUUUGUGGAUAUAUUAGUCAGGACAGGCUAGUUUAGUUUAUGCUACAGCAACAAGUGGCUCCCAAAUCUUAGUGACUUAGAGACUGACAGAUCUUCUCCACCACAUCCUUUGCCGAUUGGCUGUUGCUCUGCUUCCAGUCAUCCUGCUGGAGCAGUCUCUCCCUGGAACACUUGGUCACUGUGGCAGAAGGAAAGGAAAAAUGGUGAACCACUUCCUGGCUCGAAAAGCUUCUGUGUGGAAGUGACACACAUCUCUUCUGUCUACAUUUCAGAAGGGAUGGGGCCAGGGAUGCUGAGGACACACCAUGUACCCUUUUUCAGCAAUAUAUUGGAACAUUUCCUCAUAGUGUUUUUUUUCUUCGGCAUAUAAUUAAGUAGCCGCUUCCCCAACCCCCAUACAUGAGUAUUCCAUGGUGUGUAUGUACCACAUUUUCUUUCUCCAAGAGGAUAAAAUUUCUGAUGACAGCAUUAAACAACCCAUGUGAAAAUGAAGAUGAUUUGUGAAGACUGUCAGAUGCUUCACUCUGAGGUUCUGAGCCUGUUCCUAAGGAGAACAAUUCUAUUGAAGCUUCAUUUCUUUUCUUCCAGGAUGGAGCUUCCAGGAUAGAGCUUCUUUUUUCCUCAUGGCCUUGACCACCUAGAAUGCCACUAGAAUGGAGGUGAAACUGCGGCCAUAUCCAGUAACAGAGUCUACUGCAUCAUAUUAACUGAUAAACCCAGGAUGACAAGAGAAACAUGGGACUCACUCUUCAUUUGCAUUGACUCCAGCUAAGAGCUUCAGUUUUCAUGCUUUGCUUCAGAAUUAUUGGGUUGGCAUGGGGAGAGGAAGUUCAGAUGGGGAGACUUGGAGAUUUUCUGAGAAGAUGAGUAAAUUGAAGCCCAGAAAGGCCAAGAAACUUGAACCAUUUAGGUGAAGAAGAGUGCUCACCAGAUUCCCUUCUGGUCUGGAAAAAGAAAUCCCUUCUUUUGUGGAUGUCAUCUCUACCAUCUCUCGGUGAAAAAUAUUUCAAGAGAAUCCUAAGAUGGAGAGAGCAUUGGAAGUCAUCCGGCCCAAUUCCCUUGUGCAAUUCAAAGCUUCUUUGUAAGAAAAAUGCCCCCAGAAGUUUGUUUGCAUCAUGAAGAUCAGAUUUUGAGGAUCCAGUCUGGCUCUUCCCUGUACAAAACAUUCCUCACAAACAGAAUAUGGACAAUUGUUAAAUGUCAAAGGUAAAGUUAUUGUGGGAACUCCUUCAAAAAGUUCAAGUGAGAGCCCAUUCUAUGAAUGACCAUUUACAUCUAAUUUUUUUCUGUGCUAUGUUACUUAUUCUGAAGUGGUUGAUCCAAUUCCUAAAAGGGAAUAUUUCAUUACCUUUUAUUUCCUAUAGCAUCCAUUCUGACCCCUUUUCGGUUUAAUUAUUCCCUGAUUCCAGUCUUCAUUCACUCAUUUAUUUGAGGAAUAUUUAUUGACCAACAACUAUGCCAGGUCCCAUUCUAUGUGUAGGGACUAUAAAGUUGAACAAGACAGAGGAGGUACUGGCCUCAGAAUUUACAUUCUAGUAGAUGAGAAAGUAAAAAUAAACACAUGAAAACAUGAAUGAACCGGAUAUUGUAGACUGUGAUAGGUGUAGUUUGGGUAAAGCACAGAGUGCAGUAGUAAAGAUAAACUGCACUCAGAGUGGGGCUAUUUUAGAUGGAAUGGAGAUCUCUGAGGAAAUGAAAUUUGAGCUGAGACCUAAAAGGUCACCCAAGGACUCAUGGGAAAACUCAGUUGUUUCUAUCAAAAUUUAGCUUCAUGAACUCCAGGCCCUUGCAAAUGAUGGUUACCAGGUGAGAAAUGUCUCACUGGCAACAGAGGUUGGCAGACCCAGCUCCAGUUCCAUCCCAGCCAACAUACCAAUGUCAUUAAAAUAAGGCCAUUCAUCAAGGUGGAGACUAUUACUAGAAACAAGCAUUCUAAAGUGCCAUUUGAGUGCCAGGCUCUCAACACUGGGCGUAGCACUGCUCCAUGAGGCUUUUGAGAGCAUAUACUGAGGCAUGACCAAAAAAAUUAAGUCCCAUGUAAGUGAUGCAACUGCUCCCCAAUUACUGUGGAAGUAUCUGCAGACUAACUAUUGUGCGUGUGUGUUUGUUUGCUUUAAUGAAUAAAUUCAGUCAACCAACCAUCUAGCUAUUGACUAAAUCCAUUCUUUUUCUUCCAAAAUGUCUAUUGGCUGAAGUUUACUGGUUUUUAUUUCUAUUCGCAUACGUAAUUUUCUAAACCCCAUUCUUAUGGAACCUUCUCUAAGUUCCUCUCUAUGGCCCUGUCCAUGUUCAUACGGAUACACAUAAAGACACAAAUACACCAAACUAAGUUUAGAGCAGUCUGGUGCCUGCCUAAGACUUCAGCCUCAUCUCCUGCUUCUACCCUCUUUAGUUUAGGAAAAACAGGUAACGUUGCUGAGUGCCAAGUAUUGUGUUAGUAGCUUUGCAUGCAUUUUUUCAUUUUAUCUUCACAAGUUUCUUCUAUCACCAUGAUCUGUAUGUUUGACCAUGGUGUUUCCUCCACCUGAAAUUCCCUUGGUGCUCUGCCUGGGGAACUGUUACUCAUUCUUCAAAUCUCAACGGAAUGAUCUCCUCCUCUGGAAAGCUCUCCCUACUUCCCUAGGAAGAAGUAAUCCCUUCCUCAGUUCUGCUUUGAUUAUAACUUUAUAAGCACCUAUCACUCUGCAUGGUAUUAGUUCACUGUCAUGUCCAUUUCCUCUAUUGGGAUGUAAAUUGCUUAUGGGUAAUAAUUAGGCUUUGAAUCAUUUUAUGAUCUGGCCUAAGACAGUGCUUGGCACAUACUAUAGGCUCAUCAGAUGAUGGCUGAGUAGAAUUAAAUUGAAUCAAGUUGAAGUUAUACUUUGAUGUUUAUCAAUUAACAUGUGUAGUGUGUUAAAUGGUGGUCACUGAAAACAUACGUCUGCACCCUAAUUCCUGGAACCUGUGAAUAUAACCUUACAUGUUAAGAAGAAAUAUGACCUUAAAUGGAUAUGGAGACAAGGAGCUUAUCCUGGAUUGUCUGAGAGGGCCCUAGAUGCAAUCGCAUGUAUUCUGAUAAGUGGAGAGAAACAGAAGAGGAGGAUGCAAUGUGACCAUGUAGGCAGAAGUUUGAAUGGUGCAGCCACAAGCCAAGGAGCCCCUGGGGCCAUCAGAAGCUGGAAGAAGCAAGGAAUGGAUUCCUUCCUAGUGUUUGGAAGGAGUGUGCACUUGCCAACACCUUGGUUUGAGACUUCUGGCCUCUGGAACUGUGACAGAAUAAAUAUCUGUUGUUUUGAGCCACCCAAUUGUUGCUAAUUUGUUAAAGCAACCUUAGAAAAUUAAUAUAGCAUCCACAAUAAAAUUUCUCAAAAUAUAUGUUCCUGUGAAAUGGAAGAGUUCUAGGGAUCUAGUAGCAUAUACGGAACCCAGAUAAGUUAUACAAGUUUUUCCCUGAAAGUCUUUUCAGAUUCUUUAGCGGGCUAAGGUGCAUUGUGAAUCCCAAAAACUUUAGCGUUUUUCAGCAUCUAUUAUCACAUAAUCCUUUCCCCACCCAUGGAAUUAUAUACUAAACUGUUUUUGUAGAUGUUGAUGUUCUGUAGAACAGAGUUUUGGGGUCUGUAUGACUUAAGAUCCUUCUACAAUGGAACACAGUGAGGAGGGUAUUCAGAGGAGUCAUAGAGGGCAUUGAUCUUGCAAUAUAUACUCAGGAAAUUACCAUGGGCAGAAUAAAAUGCUUUUGAAAAUAUUUAAUGUUUGCUUGGCAUUGUUUCUCUUGGGUUUAGCUUUGCAAAAUUUUCCUCAGGUAUCAUUUUUCUUGUUGCCAUGGAGCCAAUUCACUUCCCAAGGCAAGUUGGUGAUUGGCCUAAGGGAAACUAUUGAGAAAAAAUGGACAGCUCAAGAUGUGGUUUGAAACAUUGAUGUUCUUUCUUGGUGCACUUAACUCUUCUCUCUGCUAUUAUUUUUCUUCUUCACUCUCCUGGAAUCUCCCUCUUUCCCAGUGUAAGUGAGAGUCUAAUAGCUCAUGAUGCAGCUUGGUUUGUUGUGUAUUGAAGUGACCGUAGCUGCAUUUGUUUUGGCAAACCCAUCAUCAUUUGUCUGAGGCAUAACAAUGGCCUCUUUAUUGAUGGUUUAAUCCAGUUCCUGAGGCUGGAUUAAAUAAAUGAGACAAUUGAACCUCAGAUAGGUAAGUGACUUGGCCUUGGUCACCUAGCAAGGCACUGCUAGCCAGACACACAAUCUCACUUAGUAAUUUCUGUCUAGUGCCUCCUACUAGACAGGCCAAGGCCCAGGGCACUGCACUCUGCAUGGGGUGGAAGUAGGGUGUAGCAUUGGAAUGGAGGUAGUGGUAGAAUGCAGUACUUAAAGCCAAGGAGAGAACACUAAAGAAUCCAUAGCCCCAGGAGAAGUAAAGUCAAAGGGAACCAAAAUCCAAAGGCAGUAAUCACCGAGAGGGACUCAGGAGUGAGAGAAAAUUCAUGGACAAGUGGCAGGUCAGAAGCCAGGGAAGUCAGGGCUGCCAGAAAUUUGCAAGCAGCAGGCAGGACCCCUAGUCUUUAUACAACCCUGGUCUUUCUGUAAAAGGCUGGAAAAAAACAGCUUUUUCAAACAUGCUAUAUUCAAAUGUGCCAUAAUUGUUCUGUUUUGAGAAACCAGAAUGGUCUGGCUUUUGUGCAGAAAUAAGGAGAAUAUCAUCCUUUGCUGCUCAAUGAUAAAUGUAUUGCCUGAACCUGAGCCUGGAAGACACUGCCCUACAUGUGCCCAAUGUCUCACAAUGCUUCCUUUGGGCAGUUUAGUUUGGUGUGUGACCUCUGACCUCAAAGUAUCUGAAUAGAAAACAUAACCACACUAGUUCACGCUACCUAUUCCUCUUUCCUCCAAGCAAGUACACUGAAAAUGCUAAGUCCAAACUGUGAAAGAUCUGAGAUAUUACUGUAUUUGCAAGCUACAAAGUUAGCCCUCCACAAUAUGUAUAUAUGCUUAUGUAUAUAUAUUUAUGUGUGUGUGUGCAUGCACACAUGUGUGAGGUGUGUAAUAUAUAUAUAACUUUAUAUCUGACCAAGUUUUGCAUGCCACGUUCUCACAAAGCAACACAAUGAGGGCUUGAUGUCACUGCAUGUGCAGUGGCGUUGGCUCUACAGGAGAAGAGGAACCCUGAAGUUAUAAAGUUUGGAAGUUUAUGGGACAUCCAUCCAUGUUUUCUUCUGGAAAGAGGAAGAAAUAAAUACUUUACUCUUGAAUGGAAAAAAAAAUAUUUUUGUGGAGAAGAGGGGAGGGUUUUUAUUUUGCCACCCUAGACUGUAAACAAACGGUUUCAGGGACAGAAAAAUCCUGAGGUCUCUAUCUUUAGGUUUCAUACUAUGGUCCAAAUAUGUGUGUAUCCUCAAAAUUCAUGCGCUGAAAUCCUAAUCCUAAAGUGACAGUAUUAGAAAGUGGGGCCUUUGGGAGGUGAUUAGAGGAUGAAGGUGGAGGCCUCAUGAAUGGGAUUAGAGUCUUUAUAAAAGGACCUGAAGGAGCUUUUUUACCCUGCCACCAUGUGAGGACACAGUGAGAAGGCACCAUCUAUGAACCAGAAAGCAGAUGCCCUAACCAGACACUGAAUAUGCUGGCGCCUUGAUCUUGGACUCAGCACACAGAACUGUGAGAAAUAAAUUUCUAUUGUUUGUAAGCUACCCAGUCUAUGGUACUUUCUUAUAGCAUCCCAAAUGGACUAAAACAUUUGAUAUUCAGUCAAAUGUUCUUUGUUCAGUGUUGUUUGUUCAUAAAGCUCUGACCAUGAGGAAACAUGAAAAUAUUUGUGGAGCACUGUCUCCCAAUACCAAAACUCAUCGUUUCUCUCUUAAAAAUAAAGGCAUUUCCAGAACAUCAAUAGAUGCUGGGGUAAGUAAAGGAAGGAGAGAAAAAGAAUGAAAAAGGAAUGAAGCUAUUGUACAUAUGAGCAGUGCCUGGGUUCUAGUUAAAUGAGCCUAAAAUGCCUGUUGCUAUCAUGAUAAGUUACACACAUGUCAAUGUGAACUCUCACUAACCAAGGAGAAAACUGAGAUAACUCUUAUUUUCCUCUCUCCCCUCCCCUCCCCUCCCCUCUCCCUCCCUCCCUUCCUUCCUUCUUUCCUUCCUUUUCUCUUUGUUCUUUCUUUCUUUUGAUUUCUUUCUUUUUCUUUCUUUCUUCUUGCUUCUCUAUUUCUUCCUUUCUUUUUCUUUCUUUCUUCUUUCCUUCUCUCUCUAUUUCUUCCUUCUUUCUGCAUCAGAUGGUUAACAAAAUAGACACAGUCUUGGAGCAAGUCUAGAGUGGCACA
rnacentral:lncRNA from 1 species